rnacentral:rRNA from 1 species
GCAAGUCGAGGGGCAGCACAUCUUCGGAUGGUGGCGACCGGCGCACGGGUGCGUAACGCGUAUAGAACCUACCUUUUACAGGGGGAUAGCCUUUAGAAAUGAAGAUUAAUACCCCAUGGUAUUAUAGAUUGGCAUCAAUUUAUAAUUAAAGAUUUAUCGGUAAAAGAUGGCUAUGCGUCCUAUUAGUUAGUUGGUGAGGUAACGGCUUACCAUGACUAUGAUCGGUAGGGGUCCUGAGAGGAAGAUC